AUGCCCCCGCUGCUCAUCUCAGCACUGGGGAUGAUAUUUGCCUUGAGAGUCGCCAGAGCCCAGCAGGUGACCCAGCCUGAGGUCCAUGUCUAUGUCCCUGAAGGAGCCCCGCUGGAGCUGAGGUGUAACUAUUCCUACGGUGGAAUUCUCUAUCUCUUCUGGUAUGUCCAGUACCCCAGCCAAGGCCUCCAGCUGCUCCUCAGGUACUUUUCAGGGGCCAUCUUGGUUCAAGGCAUCAAAGGCUUUGAGGCUGAAUUUAAGAAGAGUGAAUCUUCCUUCAACCUGAGGAAGUCCUCAGCCCGUUGGAGUGACUCAGCCCAGUACUUCUGUGCUUUGGGUGACACAGUGCCUGGGGCUGCAGGGGGAACGGCACACAAACUCUGA